AUAUCAAUAAGCGGAGGAAAAGAAACCAACAGGGAUUGCCCUAGUAACGGCGAGUGAAGCGGCAACAGCUCAAAUUUGAAAUCUGGCUCUCGGGCCCGAGUUGUAAUUUGUAGAGGAUGACUUUGAUGCGGUGCCUUCCGAGUUCCCUGGAACGGGACGCCAUAGAGGGUGAGAGCCCCGUCUGGUUGGAUGCCAAAUCUCUGUAAGUCUCCUUCGACGAGUCGAGUAGUUUGGGAAUGCUGCUCUAAAUGGGAGGUAUAUGUCUUCUAAAGCUAAAUACCGGCCAGAGACCGAUAGCGCACAAGUAGAGUGAUCGAAAGAUGAAAAGCACUUUGAAAAGAGAGUUAAAAAGUACGUGAAAUUGUUGAAAGGGAAGCGUUUAUGACCAGACUUGGGCUUGGUUAAUCAUCUGGGGUUCUCCCCAGUGCACUUUUCCAGUUCAGGCCAGCAUCAGUUUUCGCCGGGGGAUAAAGACUUCGGGAAUGUGGCUCCUCUCGGGGAGUGUUAUAGCCCGUUGUGUAAUACCCUGGCGGGGACUGAGGUUCGCGCUUCUGCAAGGAUGCUGGCGUAAUGGUCAUCAACGA
rnacentral:rRNA from 1 species